rnacentral:rRNA from 1 species
GAGAUCGGGAUAACACCUGGAAACAGAUGCUAAUACCGGAUAACAANAGAUGAUGCCUAUCAACUGUUUAAAAGAUGGUUCUGCUAUCACUCUUGGAUGGACCUGCGGUGCAUUAGCUAGUUGGUAGGGUAACGGCCUACCAAGGCGAUGAUGCAUAGCCGAGUUGAGAGACUGAUCGGCCACAUUGGGACUGAGACACGGCCCAAACUCCUACGGGAGGCAGCAGC